CGGAGCUUCCCCCUUCUCCCCCCCAUCGCCCGGACCACGUGACUGGGGCGGUCUCCAUGGACGGGGAAACACAUCACUCUUUGCUGUUGACAACCGCAGCAGCAGCAAGAUUUCCGACAAGCCUACGGUGUUCCAGCUGACAAAAGAGGAAGACACAUAUGAGACUGAAAACUUGGUUUCUUCAACUGUCCAAAUAGACCUGUUGUUUUGCUUCUCAUUUACAUGCCGCACGAGAAAAAUAUAAAGGGGCCGUGUUUGAAAACUUGGAAAACAACAAAUAUCCCUGUAGAUAAUGGUGCGGUAUGACAGGGGUUUGUUAUGAAAAGAAAUAAAGUGAAACAGUACUCAUUUUCAAGA